UUAAUCUAUUUAUAUCUGUGUUUAUGUUUACAUCGCUUAUAUGGUCAUAGAAGGUCAACUCGAUAGUUAAUUAGAUGGCGUCUUGGCUAAAUUUUACACGAAACGAAGCAACAUCUUAUUGAGACCAUGUCCUGUAAAUUGUUUAUUUGAUAUUUUUGAUAGUUUGGAAAAAUGUUUUACAUUGUUAUAAAUAAAAUAUGAGAAUUUG
rnacentral:lncRNA from 1 species